GUGGGGAAUUUUGGACAAUGGGCGCAAGCCUGAUCCAGCAAUGCCGCGUGCAGGAAGAAGGCCUUCGGGUUGUAAACUGCUUUUGUACGGAACGAAACGGUCCUGGUUAAUACCUGGGGCUAAUGACGGUACCGUAAGAAUAAGCACCGGCUAACUACGUGCCAGCAGCCGCGGUAAUACGUAGGGUGCGAGCGUUAAUCGGAAUUACUGGGCGUAAAGCGUGCGCAGGCGGUGCUGUAAGACAGGCGUGAAAUCCCCGGGCUCAACCUGGGAAUUGCGCUUGUGACUGCAGUGCUGGAGUACGGCAGAGGGGGAUGGAAUUCCGCGUGUAGCAGUGAAAUGCGUAGAUAUGCGGAGGAACACCGAUGGCGAAGGCAAUCCCCUGGGCCUGCACUGACGCUCAUGCACGAAAGCGUGGGGAGCAAACAGGAUUAGAAACCCGUGUAGUCC
rnacentral:rRNA from 1 species